rnacentral:tRNA from 1 species
GUUUUUCUAGUAUAAAAUAGUACAUUUGACUUCCAAUCAGAAAGAUUGAUAAAAAUCAAGAAAAACA